AUUGUAUUGAGUUGAAAUGUCGCGUGACGUCACUUUUGAGUAAAAAAUCUACUCAAGCGUGACGUAACGCGCCAAUUCAACUCGAUGUAGGACUGUUAUUAUUUAAUUAUGAAAGAAAAUAAAAAAUAUGAGUUUAAUAUUUUCUAAUAUCUGUCUGACGGACAAAUAAUUGAAAAUUUGUCAUUUAGCCUUUAAAAGUAUUGAUUUAUAGUAGUGCCAAGUGCUCUCCUGUAUAGGUCUACCAGAAUCUCAUGGCAAACAAAAAUAUUGGAAAAGUGUGGCUUUCAUAAGGAAAUUGUCUAUGGCUUUAUUGUCACCUGUCAAAACAAAUUACGAGAUUUGUCAACCACUGCAGAAAUUUUGUGAAUCUUCAUGAUUAUUUGUUAUUUUUAUGAAAAUACAAAAAAAAAACUCAAGCGAGUUAUAUUGUUUUCAAUGUGUAUUGUAAAAUAUGGCGUAAUUUAAACUCAAUCUUUGAUUUUAAAGCACGUCGUUGAGUUGACAGGUAAGUCGGACUGAAAUGUUAAGAUUACAUUUAGUUUAUUACCCGACUGCGUCAGAAAGAGGGUUAUGUUUAUUUUUAAGUAUUUUUCUUUCUUAAUAGCUGCUUUAUUGAGGUUUACCUACAGGUGAAUCUCACAAAUUGGUGCAAAGGAAUGGUGAAAAUGUUGUAACCAUGUAAAGAAACUUGAUAAGAUUUCAUCAAGCAAAAUCAUUAUUAAUCAUCAAGCAAGAUUGAAUAAUAAAAUUGAAAUGCUGGAAGAGCAAUUUAUAAUAAA